GACGAACGCUGGCGGCGUGCCUAAUACAUGCAAGUAGGACGCAGUUGCGAAAGGGUGAGUUACGCGUAUGUCACUACCUCUUUGAGGGGGAUAACUACUGUAAACGAUAGCUAAUACCGCAUACUAGUAGAUGUAUCUGCGUUGUAUUAGCUAGUAGGUAGGGUAAUGGCCUACCUAGGCAACGAUACAUAGCUGACCUGAGAGGGUGAUCGGCCACACUGGGACUGAGACACGGCCCAGACUCCUACGGGAGGCAGCAGUGGGGAAUAUUGGACAAUGGGCGAAAGCCUGAUCCAGCCAUGCCGCGUGUGUGAAGAAGGUCUUCGGAUUGUAAAGCACUUUCAGUUGGGAGGCGUUACCAACAGAAUAAGCACCGGCUAACUUCGUGCCAGCAGCCGCGGUAAUUC
rnacentral:rRNA from 1 species